UAAUAAUGUUUGUUACAAACAAAAAUCAGCUUCAAGUUAUAUAUUUAUUUUUCAGAGCAAGAAUCAAGGAAGCGUGUAACUUAUUACGUCAGCUUGUACCCGGCAUGUCAGAUAAAACAGACAAAGCCACUGUAUUUGAAUUUGCUGCAAGAUAUGUUCACUUUCUCAAGUCUCACACUGGAGCACAGUUUGAUAAGGAUUUUCUGAUGAAAUAUUCUCCAUACUGAACUACAGAUGAAGAUUUCCAGGAAAAAGAAAUAUUUGCUUUUGAUUAUAACAACUUAGUAUGUGGAUCAUAUCUUAUUUCUAUUCCUAUGUAGUAUGUGAUGUUAGGACAGUUUUAUCCCUGCCCCUUGAAGUGAUCAAGGAGAGGUUUCUCUUUUGAAUUUGCAACACAGUGUUUGUCGAUUUAAAACCAUAUAUAAAUGGGUUUUUUAUUCCAAGAACAUAGCUGGUUUUUGUUGAAACUUAAUGUUCUGUGCUUACUUUUAAUAUUGCAGUCAUUUUCAAAGCCGCUGACAUUUAAACAAUAUGUGUAAUAUUAUGCUAGCUUUACUCUCCACAGCACACUAUGUUAGAUUUUGAUAAGUUUUUGAAGACUGCAUGAUUCCUCAUUUUUUAGUCCAGUGAUUAUAAUUAUUAUUGUUUGUUGUUAUGGAACAGUUUCUUAUAUAAUGGAUCAACAUGUUGUUACUGUCCUGUAUAUUUUUUUUGUCUGUACGUAUGUCCUAAACAAUGGAGAUAAAUUAACCCAACAUUGGCAGGAAUGAUACUGUACAUGUGUCAAAAUUUUAUUCAAAUAACUUGUUUGUACGUUUCUUAAUAUUUUUGUUAUGAUUUUAAGCAAGUAAGGGGUAGUGAUCAAGAAGCAAAAAAUGUUGUGCUAACUGAAUAUUUGUUAGAUUUACAGACCUUUAUAUUUAUUUUUGCAGUCGUAACUUUUUAAAAGACGAACAAAAAUGUG
rnacentral:lncRNA from 1 species